CGGGGGGCAGCAGUAAGGAAUAUUGGUCAAUGGACGCAAGUCUGAACCAGCCAUGCCGCGUGAAGGAUUAAGGUCCUCUGGAUUGUAAACUUCUUUUAUUUGGGACGAAAAAGGGUCUUUCUAGAUCAACUGACGGUACCAGAUGAAUAAGCACCGGCUAACUCCGUGCCAGCAGCCGCGGUAAUACGGAGGGUGCAAGCGUUAUCCGGAUUCACUGGGUUUAAAGGGUGCGUAGGCGGGUAGGUAAGUCAGUGGUGAAAUCCUAGAGCUCAACUCUAGAACUGCCAUUGAUACUAUUUAUCUUGAAUAUUGUGGAGGUAAGCGGAAUAUGUCAUGUAGCGGUGAAAUGCUUAGAUAUGACAUAGAACACCUAUUGCGAAGGCAGCUUACUACGCAUAUAUUGACGCUGAGGCACGAAAGCGUGGGGAUCAAACAGGAUUAGAUACCCGAGU
rnacentral:rRNA from 1 species